AACACGACUCUCUCUCUCUCUCGAUCUCGCGAUUGCGAUCAAAGGAAGUGAUGAACAAACGCCAAUUUCGUGAGUUUCUGAUGAGUCGACGCAGAUUUUGUUUUCUUUUUUCUGCGAGCAUCAACACUUUUCACUUAAUCGCUCCGGCGGUGGCGACGGCAACGUGACGGAGACGUUGUCGUAAAAUUAGGGUUUAUCUUUCUUGGCUUGUUGUUGUUGAAGAAGAAGGUAUGGUGAGGAAACACGGUUGGCAACUUCCCGCUCACACUCUUCAGGUAAAGAUCGGAUGUAACCUUCUCUAUAGCCAAAGCUUCGAUUUUCCAUGAUUGCUUUCUAGAAUCUGGUCAAUAUGAAGUCACAAUUGGCUGUGAUUUCAAUUGGGUUUUGUGUAUUUUUCUCUCGGGUGAUUGCAAUUACGUACGGUGUUUUGCUUGUUGGUGGUCGCUUUCUAUGCUUUCUUCGCUCCUUUUGUUGGAGGUCGUAUUUGGGAAUACGUUUUGAUCGGUGUUUACUCUCAUGUGGCUAUUCUUGUAUUUGUUUUGUAUGUUCGGUGUACUGCACUCAAGCCUGCGGAUCCAAGGAUCAUGUCGAUGUUGUGGCAAUGAGAGCCAUGAGCGAGACGCUAGAUGGACCAUCUGUUGAUGAGAAGAAGUAUGAAUAUUGGAGCUGGUGUUGCUAGUUCUACUUUGGCUUAUACUCUUGGAAAGUAUGCUUGCAGAGGACGCUAUCAAGUCUGCGGUCAGAGACUACAAGGAGAAGCAAGCAAAGGCUAAUGCUAAUAGCUAAGCAUGUCUAUUGACCCAACUCACAAAUCUUUUUCUGCAUUGUGAUUCCUCUUUCUUCAGUGUCUUAUGGAAUAAUUGUUGCAGUGAUAUUGAUAAUUUUAAUCAUCUGAUAUUAGACAUAGCUAAGCAAUUCACAAAAUAAUUAUGGUAACACAAGCUUUGGCAUGAACAUUCACAAAAUAAGAUCAAGUCACCAAUCAGUUUGUAUCAGUGAUCUUUUUUUCUCUCAACAAAAUGAAAAUCGUCGUUGAUGAUACUAAAUUUACA